rnacentral:ncRNA from 1 species
UUAACAGUGAUGAUAAGGACAACCAUCUUAAUGGAACGUUGCAGAGAAGGAGGGGUAGCUGCGAACCUCCAAACCGAAAAUUGAGAUUGGACCGCCUUUGAACUUCUAUCUGGAAAGCUUUUAGUGAGUAAUGAUAGACGAUUCGCUUUCGUUAACAGCGACAAGAGAGAACAAAUUUUGUGUUUGUUUGAAAUCUUGGGUGGAACCACGAGCAUAACUCGUCCCUUGU